rnacentral:lncRNA from 1 species
AAGGAAAUCCCGAUGGUGAAAGUCGUGUGGAACCACCACAACUUGGAAGAAUGCACUUGGGAGACACGGGAGUCUAUGCUCCAGCAGUACCCUCAUCUCUUUUAAGGUUAGAUCCCUAUGUGUUUAUGUGCCUUGUAUGUGUGUUAUGUUCUUUGCCAUGCUAUGUGUGCUAGUGAGGAACAUUCGGGGACGAAUGUUCUUAAGGGGGGGAGAAUGUAAUACCCGGCUAGACUCCGGUAUCGGAAUUCCUACCGUCCGGUGGGAUCCCGGAUGUCGGAGACCUCUAGAAGGGUAAAAUCAUGUUUUUGUAAAA